GGGUGAGUAAUGCCUAGGAAUCUGCCUGUUAGUGGGGGAUAACGUUCCGAAAGGAACGCUAAUACCGCAUACGUCCUACGGGAGAAAGUGGGGGAUCUUCGGACCUCACGCUAACAGAUGAGCCUAGGUCGGAUUAGCUAGUAGGUGAGGUAAUGGCCCACCUAGGCUACGAUCCGUAACUGGUCUGAGAGGAUGAUCAGUCACACUGGAACUGAGACACGGUCCAGACUCCUACGGGAGGCAGCAGUGGGGAAUAUUGCACAAUGGGGGAAACCCUGAUGCAGCCAUGCCGCGUGUGUGAAGAAGGCCUUCGGGUUGUAAAGCACUUUCAGUCAGGAGGAAGGGGAGUAGGCUAAUAUCCUAUUUCAUUGACGUUACUGACAGAAGAAGCACCGGCUAACUCCGUGCCAGCAGCCGCGGUAAUACGGAGGGUGCAAGCGUUAAUCGGAAUAACUGGGCGUAAAGCGCACGCAGGCGGUUAGAUAAGUCAGAUGUGAAAGCCCCGGGCUCAACCUGGGAACUGCAUUUGAAACUGUCUGACUCGAGUCUUGUAGAGGGGGGUAGAAUUCCAGGUGUA
rnacentral:rRNA from 1 species